AUAUUUGAAAUGAACAUCCACCAUGCUCUUAAGAUGAAUCCAAGUUUCACUUAUGUUUGCAUUCAAGAAUGUCCUUUAUUUCCAAGCUGGACUUGGAGGCUUAGCCAAUAUGUUUCUUCUUUGUUUCUAUAUUUUCAUACUCAUAGGUAACAGACUUAAACCCACGGACUUGAUUUCCUGUCAACUCACCUUUAUUCACAUGAUGAUAUUCCUCACUGGAGGGGACCUGUUGAUUACAGACAUAUUUGCAUCGCUGAAUAUUGAUAAUGACUUCAUAUGUAAGGCAACAUUUUACAUAAGCAGAGUGACAAGAGGCCUCUCUAUCUGUACUACUUGCCUCCUGAGUGUGUUCCAGGCUGUCACUAUCAGUCCCAGUACCUCAAUGUUGGCAAAGUUUAAACAAAAACUAAAAAAAUACAUGAUCUAUGUUUUCUUGUGUAUUUGGUCUUUCAAUUUGUCCUACAGUAGUAACUGGUUCUUUUAUGUUCGUGGUUUUACUAAUGUGAGUGAGACUAACCAGAUGCAGGUCACUGAAUUCUGGCACACUUUUCCCCAUGAACUAUAUCAUCAGGGGAUUGAUGUUAACAGUGUCAAUCUCCAGAGAUGUGUUUCUUGUAGGAGUCAUGCUGAUCACAAGUACAUACAUGGUGAUUAUUUUGUGCAGACAUCAGAGGCAAUGCAAGCAUCUUCAUAGCAUCAACAACCUGAGAGCUUCCCCUGAGAAAAGAGCCACUCAGGCUAUCUUGCUGCUGGUUAUUUUCUUUGUGGUCAUGUACUGGGUGGACUUCAUCAUCUCAUCUAUAUCAGUCCUGUUGUGGAUGUAUGACCCAGUCAUCCUGAGGGUUCAGAAGUUUGUGAUGUAUGCCUUUCCCACAAUUAGUCCUUUGGUACAAAUCAGUUCUGAUAACAGAAUAAUAGUUAUGCUGAAACACGUGCACUUAAAGCACCACCAGAGUUUUUUUUGAAACGAUUUUUUUAUUUCUUUAAAAACCUACUAAUUUAUUUUUUUAUACAUGUGAGUGUUGUGCCAGCAUGUAUCUAUGUGUGCAUUCCUGCUACCCAUAGAGAUGAAAAGAUGCCAUGACACUCACUGAAAUUGGACUUAUAGAUGGCUAUAAGGAAUCAUUCUGUAAAGCACCAAUUAUUUUUUUCUAAAAUACAGUUUCUUUAAAACUUUAAUGUCCCAAGUACAUAUAUAGCAGAUGUACAACCCAGUCUCUAUGUGGAUUUCCCCCAAGUUGUGCCUGUUCCUAAAGCUGCUGUCUGUCAUGGAAUCCAUUCCCAACAGAACUGCCUUUCUAUUCUCAGCUGGAGAGGAUGCACCUAACCUUGCAGAAACUUUAUGUGCCCAAGUGGGGUAAUACAACGGUGUAGGGCACCGUCUCAGAUGAGAAAAUAUAAGGGAAGUGAGAUGGAAGCCUGUGAGAGGGCACCUGGUUGACAUUUAAGUGAAUGAAUGAAUGAAUCAAUGAAGUUCCUUAAAAAUUAAAUUCAAGUUUUGUUGAGUAUAGCCUUUUGUAGAAGCAUCUGAUGGUGUUUUGGAUUUCUUCAGGGUCUGUUGUUAUGUCUCCCUUUUUAUUUCUGAUUUUGUUAAUUAGGAUGUUGUCCCUGUGCCCUCUAAUGAGUCUAGCUAAGGGUUUAUCUAUCUUGUUGAUUUUCUCAAAGAACCAGCUCCUCCUUUGGUUGAUUCUUUCAAUAGUUCUUCUUGUUUCCACUAGGUUGAUUUUACCCCUGAGUCUGAUUAUUUCCUGCCAUCUACUACUCUUGAGUGAAUUUGCUUCCUUUUGUUCUAGAGCUUUUAGGUGUGGUGUCAAGCUGCUAGUGUGUGCUCUCUCUAGUUUCUUUUGGGGGGCACUCAGAGCUACUUUUCCUCUUAGAAAUUCUUUCAAUGUGUCCCAUAAGUUUGGGUAUGUUGUUGUUCCUCAGAAAAUUGGACAUAGUACUCCUGGAGGAUCCCGCAAUACCUCUCCUGGGCAUAUAUCCAGAAGAUGUUCCACCCGGUAAGAAGGACAUAAGCUCCACUAUGUUCAUAGCAGCCUUAUUUAUAAUAGCCAGAAGCUGGAAAGAACCCAGAUGCCCCUCAACAGAAGAAUGGACACAGAAGAUGUGAUACAUUUACACAAUGGAGUACUACUCGGUUAUUAAAAAGAAUGAAUUUAUGGAAUUCCUAGGCAAAUAGAUGGACCUGGAGGGCAUCAUCCUGAGUGAGGUAACCCAAUCACAAAAGAACUCAAAUGAUAUGUACUCACUGAUAAGUGGAUAUUAGCUCAGAAACGUAGAAUACCCAAGAUAUAAGAUACAAUUUGCUAAACACAUGAAACUCAAGAAGAACGAAGACCAAAGUGUGGAUACUUUGCCCCUUCUUAGAAUUGGGAAGAAAACACCCAUGGAAGGAGUUACAGAAACACAGUUGGGAGCUGAGACAAAAGGAUGGACCAUCUAGAGACUGCCAUAUCUGGGGAUCCAUCCCAUAAUCAACUUCCAAACGCUGACACCAUUGCAUACACUAGCAAUAUUUUGCUGAAAUGACCCAGAUAUAUCUGUCUCUUGUGAGACUAUGCUGAGGCCUAGCAAACACAGAAGUGUAUGCUCACAGUCAGCUAUUGGAUGGAUCACAGGGCCCCCAAUGGAGGAGCUAGAGAGUAACCAAGGGGCUAAAGGGAUCUGCAACCCUAUAGGUGGAACAACAAUAUGAACUACCCAGUACCCCUCCCCCCCCCCCAGAGCUCAUGUCUCUAGCUGCAUAUGUAUCAGAAGAUGGCCUAAUCGGCCAUCAGUAGAAAGAGAGGCCCAUUGGUCAUACAAACUUUAUAUGCCUUAGUACAGGGGAAAGACAGGGCCAAGAAGUGGGAGUGGGUGGGUGGGGGAGUGGGUGAGGGAGCAUGUGGGGGACUUUUGGGAUAGCAUUGGAAAUGUAAAUGAAAUAAAUUCCUAAUAAAAAAAUUAAACUCAACGUUUCAGGUAGCAAAGCAGGAUUGUUCAUAUGAUUUAAUAAAAAUUUUGCAUUAUUACACAUAGACAUUCAUAUACAUUUUUGACAUUUCUGUUGCUAAGUACUAGAAAGUUUUUAAGUUAAUUGCCCAGGAUAAGUUGAUAUUUCUACAUGAAAUCUCUCUUUCUCCUUUGUACUUUGUAAAAUGAAUAUUCCCUUGCUGUCGAGUUUACUCCAAAGAAGACCCUUGCUGAUAGUGACUUUCUAAGCUUUCUCUCCAAAAGAUUUCAGUCUACUCUCUCUCACCAAGAAUAGCUUAAAUAUUUUAUUGUAGCUUUAAUUCUAUUUCCUAAUUAUAAUUUUUCUGGAUCCAUAAAAAUACUGUGAGUUUAGGGUCCCACUGUUUUUUACUACAAUUACUUAAUCAAUUUUAUAUGAAAAUAUCAUGUGCCUGUUUAUUUGUACUUCAUUUCAUUUACAUGUACUAAAAUAUUAUUAGUAAAUAAAAAUUGUUUAGAUA
rnacentral:lncRNA from 1 species